GUCCUCUAUCACGUUUGCCUUAUAAAAUUUUUUUUCCCACAUCUAUCCAUUAAGCAUAUUUUAGUUAUUUUAAUUUGAAACUGUUAAUUUUAUAAUGAUGUUAGAUGGCGUGGGUAUAUAUACAAAAAUAAAGAUAAAAAUAAAAAAAUAGAAUAGUAAAACAAAUGUUUUAUGAAGGUAUACAUAUAAAUAUCUUCUCCUCCUUCUUUUUCUCCUCCUUCUUCUUCUUCUCCUCCUCCUUCUCUUCACCUUCUUCUUCUUCUCUUUCUUCUUUUACUUCUCCAUCUUCUUCUACUUCCCCUGCUCCUACCUCUUCUUCUUCUUCUUAUUCCUCCUCCUCCUC
rnacentral:lncRNA from 1 species